rnacentral:rRNA from 1 species
AACCUACGGGGGGCAGCAGUGGGGAAUAUUGCACAAUGGGGGGAACCCUGAUGCAGCGACGCCGCGUGGGCGAGGAAGUAUUUCGGUAUGUAAAGCCCUAUCGGCAGGGGAGAAGAAAUGACGGUACCUGAAUAAGAAGCACCGGCUAACUACGGGCCAGCAGCCGCGGUAAUACGUAGGGGGCAAGCGUUAUCCGGAUUUACUGGGUGUAAAGGGGGCGCAGACGGCCGCGCAAGCCAGGAGUGAAAGCCCGGGGCGCAACCACGGG